GACGAACGCUGGCGGCGUGCCUAAUACAUGCAAGUAGAACGCACAGUUUAUACCGUAGCUUGCUACACCAUAGACUGUGAGUUGCGAACGGGUGAGUAACGCGUAGGUAACCUGCCUGGUAGCGGGGGAUAACUAUUGGAAACGAUAGCUAGUACCGCAUAAUAUUGAUUAUUGCAUGAUAAUUGAUUGAAAGAUGCUAUUGCAUCACUACCAGAUGGACCUGCGUUGUAUUAGCUAGUAGGUGAGGUAACGGCUCACCUAGGCGACGAUACAUAGCCGACCUGAGAGGGUGAUCGGCCACACUGGGACUGAGACACGGCCCAGACUCCUACGGGAGGCAGCAGUAGGGAAUCUUCGGCAAUAGACGAAAGUCUGACCGAGCAACGCCGCGUGAGUGAAGAAGGUUUUCGGAUCGUAAAGCUCUGUUGUAAGAGAAGAACGGGUGUGAGAGUGGAAAGUUCACACUGUGACGGUAUCUUACCAGAAAGGGACGGCUAACUACGUG
rnacentral:rRNA from 1 species